rnacentral:rRNA from 1 species
UACGUAGGUGGCAAGCGUUGUCCGGAUUUACUGGGCGUAAAGCGCGUGUAGGCGGCUUUGCAAGUCGGAUGUGAAAGCCCACGGCUCAACCGUGGAAGUGCAUCCGAAACUGCAUGGCUUGAGUCUCGGAGAGGAAGGUGGAAUGCUUGGUGUAGAGGUGAAAUUCGUAGAUAUCAAGCAGAACACCUGCGGCGAAGGCGGCCUUCUGGACGAUGACUGACGCUGAGACGCGAAAGCGUGGGGAGCAAACAGG